rnacentral:rRNA from 1 species
ACGUCAGGGCAAUCUAGUAUUAAUAGAUUACUUUUCCUCACGUCUGAAAGUGCUUUACAACCCUAAGGCCUUCUUCACACACGCGGCAUUGCUGCAUCAGGCUUGCGCCCAUUGUGCAAUAUUCCCC